AAAUAAGAAGUGAAAAUUUCGCAUUUAGUUUCGACCUAAAAAUUUGAUAUAAUAUUAUCCUUAUUUU
rnacentral:tRNA from 1 species